GGAUGUGAGCGUGAUCUGGCUGCGACAUCUGCCACCCCUUUUAUCGCCAGGGUUGAUUCAGCUAAUCUGGCUGGCUAGGUGGGUGUUCCCUUCCUUCCUCACCACUUCAUGUGCGUCCCUCCUGAAGCUGCAUGCUCAGUCGAAGAGGACAGCCUUCCCAGAAUAGAGAUGGACUGGUCUUCAGUCGAGGGUAUAUGAGUAGCUGCACUCCCCUGCUAGAACCUCCAAACAAGCUCUCAAAGUCCUUGAUCCACUUGGAAUUUACUUUUGUGUUUGGUGAAAUAUACUGGUUCAGUUUCUUUCUUU
rnacentral:snRNA from 1 species